CUUCGGGGCAGGGUGAGGCAAAAGCCAAUUCCCGACCGGUGGUAAAGUCCACGAGCGAAAGCUGAUCCGGUGCAAUUCCGGAACCGACGGUACAGUCCGGAUGAAAGAAGU
rnacentral:ncRNA from 1 species